rnacentral:rRNA from 1 species
GAUCCCUUCCCGAACUCAGAAGUGAAACCUCUUUGCGCUGAUGGUAGUGUGGGGUUACCCAUGUGAGAGUAAGUCAUCGCCAGCU